GACGAACGCUGGCGGCGUGCCUAACACAUGCAAGUCAACUUGACUGAAGGAGCAAUCUGACAGUAGAGUGGCGCAAGGGUGCGUAACGCGUAAGUAACUUGCCCAAGGUAAGGAAUAACGUCGAGAAAUCGGCGCUAAUACCUCAUAAUGCAGCGGAUCCGCAUGGAUAUGUUGUUAAAGGUUUACCGCCUUGGGAUAGACUUGCGUCUGAUUAGCUAGUUGGUGUGGUAACGGCACACCAAGGCUACGAUCAGUAACUGGUCUGAGAGGAUGAUCAGUCACACUGGAACUGAGACACGGUCCAGACUCCUACGGGAGGCAGCAGUGAGGAAUAUUGGGCAAUGCUCGAAAGAGUGACCCAGCAACGCCGCGUGGAGGAUGAAGGUAUUCUAUAUCGUAAACUCCUGUGAGAGCAGACGAAAGACAGAUUAUAAUCUGGAUGACUGUAUGCUCAGAGGAAG
rnacentral:rRNA from 1 species